GACACUGGUCUAACUGUAACAUCCUACUUAAGUAUGUUAACAAUCUGAUACUAAAAAUGGCAACAAAAGGAAUUUACGAGUCUAAUAAUCUCAUAAUAGAAUAACCAACAAAUGUUUUGCUAACAACAUUGUUUAAGAUCUAAUUUAAUGAUUGCAAACUCCAAGGUGUCCCAUCCUGUUCUCGCGUCCCGUUACGUCUACUUCCACCCUACCACAUUACAAAUCAAAAAAAUGAUGAGUCACUAUAUCAUGACUCAGCAUGGUUUCCCCCUACAUAUCAGUCAGAUGGUAUAGUAAAGCAAUUAAAAUCACAAUUAUCAAGUAGAUCAUAAUACUCAUUCACUAUAUUAUAACACACACUUCACAUAUAAUUUUGACAUUUGAUAACACUCACACUGCAGUUGUCAUUUGGUUCAUACCAACACUCCCAUCACUCACUAACACUUCACUUAUAUAUCCAUUACAAGAUUUCACAUAUAAAUUCACAAACCAAUUAAAUCAUGACGAUAAAUGUAAACACAUCUGGUAAAUAAGAUAGGCGCGCAAAUCUGUAAAUAACAGUGAAUAUAUCCAACUCAAGAGUAAAAAUCCAUAAUGGAAAUAAAAUUCUAAACUCUAUAACUCAAUCUGAAAAUUCUAAAUGUCAGGUAAAACUCUGAAAGAAAGAGUAUGAAUUCUGAAAAUCAUAGUACAUAACAGAGAUAAACAAAAAAAAACGAAUCAAAUGACAUGUGUCUCAAGAACCAUGGGAUCAUAAAACUCUAACAAUCAUGUAAAUGAAGUCUGAAAAUUCUAAAUGUCAGAUAAAACUCGUAAAGAAAGAGUUUGAAUUCUGAAAUCAAAUUGCAUGACAUGUGUUUAAAUAAAUAUCAAAUCCAUUGUCUAAUUUCACCCUAAUAAAAUAAAUCUCAACUCCACCGAUACUACAUCCGUGUCAGCAUAACUCUGUUUAAAAUACUGCACUAUAAAACAGAAUAUAGCUCAAAAAAAACACUCACGGAAGUUCAGAUCACCCCCCCAAUUCAGCCCUGUAAAUAAUUAAAACAGAGCAUAGCACAGCUAUUAAACAACUCACGGGAGUUCACGUCACCCCCAAUUCAACCCUGUAAAUCAUACACCAUAAAACAGAACAUAGCACAGCUAUGCAACAACUCACGGAAUUUCAGAUCAACCCCAGUUCAGCCCUGUAGAUCAUCGCUCAAUACCCAUGGUAUUUAUCCAAGAUAUCAACCCAAUACAAACUAAUCUGCAUAUGGUAAGGCAUCUGAUACAAUCUAUAACACAUUUUAUUAAAAACACUUGCACUAUCUAUUAAACAAACACAUCAGUGUCACGUACUCGGACUCCCUUGUCUCCCAAAUCCACCAAAUAAAUCAAUAGAACCCAAACAGUACAUAGUAAUCACACAAUCUGUAAAUUAAUUAUCUCAUAGAUAUACCCAAUCUGCAACUAUUAUGCAACAUUUCAGCAAACCCAAUCAAAGCUACUAUGCAUUUCUAAUCAAAUGUUACCCAUAGCACACACUACCGAUGCAUUUAGAUGACUAUUCACCACUCAAUCCCAUACUUCGUUUUGUUUUCGAGACUUUUCUACACACAAUCCACACCAAGCUUUCCAACCACCUCGGCACCUCCUCGCUCGUUUCCCGGAUGGUCCCUCGCCGGAGUUUCAUCGUCUUGCCGGAAUAGCUACCCUUCUCCUUCCACUCACAUUUUUCUCCCCCUUCUCUCUUUCCAUCCUUUGUCUAUA
rnacentral:lncRNA from 1 species